rnacentral:rRNA from 1 species
AACGCUGGCGGCAUGCCUAACACAUGCAAGUCGAACGGAAACGACAGGAGCUUGCUCCUGGGCGUCGAGUGGUGGACGGGUGAGUAAUGCAUAGGAAUCUGCCCAUGUAGUGGGGGACACCCUGGGGAAACUCAGGGUAAUACCGCAUGAGCCCUUCGGGGGAAAGCAGGGGAUCUUCGGACCUUGCGCUAUUGGAUGAGCCUAUGCCUGAUUAGCUUGUUGGUGGGGUAACGGCCUACCAAGGCGACGAUCAGUAGCUGGUCUUAGAGGACGACCAGCCACACUGGCACUCAGACACGGCCCAGACUCCUACGGGAGGUAGCAGUGGAGAAU